rnacentral:rRNA from 1 species
CGCAACGCUAAUCGGCGCAGGGUGAGUCGGCCCCUAAGGCGAGACCGAAAGGUGUAGUCGAUGGGAAACGGGUUAAUAUUCCCGUACCUUGGAUAGCUGCGAUGGAGAGACGGAGAAGGCUAGGUGAGCCGGGCGACGGUUGUCCCGGUUUAAGCGAGUAGGGAGUGGACUUAGGCAAAUCCGGGUCCACAAUCCUGAGACGCGACGACGAGUGCCCAAGGGCGCGAAGUCAUUGAUGCCCUGCUUCCAGGAAAAUCUUCUAAGCUUCAGGCUAUUCGAGACCGUACCCCAAACCGACACAGGUGGUCAGGUAGAGAAUACCAAGGCGCUUGAGAGAACUCGGGUAAAGGAACUAGGCAAAAUGGUGCCGUAACUUCGGGAGAAGGCACGCCGGUGUGUACGUGAAUCCCCUGCGG